AAAAAUUCAAUGUUCAUAAUUCGCCAUCAAAAAAUUCAAUGUUAAAAAAUUCGCUGUCAAAAAAUUCGCUGUACUCAGGCGUAAACAAUCGAUCCUGGCCAAAAUCGAGCCAACGCCCAGCAAAUCACGUGGCGCUCCUCCGGUCAUGUGACGCAGACGGUUCACCUCACAAGACCGGGGUCAACCACAGCUACCAGCAUGAACGACGGCGCUUCAAUGCACAAUGAGGGACGUCUGCAGCGACUGAGAAAGAGUCUCACCACAUCCUGACAUGAGGAAAAAGACUUUAUUGAAGACUACAAUGAGAAAAACUAUCCAGACAGCAGACGGCUGCAUUCAAGAUGUUAAGUUAAAGGAGUUUUAUUCGUGACGUAUAACCAAUCAAAUCACUCCAGAAGACAGAGCGACCACAGGCCUCCGUUGACUCGUCCCGCCUGCCGUCUCUGGAGCUGAAGCUGGAUUGGAACAGACCAAAGUACAGU
ensembl:lncRNA